rnacentral:rRNA from 1 species
UCCUACGGGAGGCAGCAGUAGGGAAUCUUCGGCAAUGGGCGAAAGCCUGACCGAGCAACGCCGCGUGAGCGAUGAAGGCCUUCGGGUCGUAAAGCUCUGUUGUUAGGGAAGAACAAGUAUGAGUUGAAUAAGCUCAUGCCUUGACGGUACCUAACGAGAAAGCCACGGCUAACUACGUGCCAGCAGCCGCGGUAAU